AUGCAAGUCGUACGGGAUCCGAGGUAGCAAUACUUUGGUGAGAGUGGCGCACGNGGUGCGUAACACGUAUGCAACCUACCUUUAACCGGGACACAACCUUGAGAAAUUGAGGCUAAUAUCCCAUAACACUGCGAGAUGGCAUCAUUUUGCAGUUAAAACUCCGGUGGUUAUUGAUGGGCAUGCGCGACAUUAGCUAGUUGGUGAGGUAACGGCCCACCAAGGCUACGAUGUCUAGGGGUUCUGAGAGGAUUAUCCCCCACACUGGUACUGAGACACGGACCAGACUCCUACGGGAGGCAGCAGUAAGGAAUAUUGGUCAAUGGGCGCAAGCCUGAACCAGCCAUGCCGCGUGAAGGAUGACGGCCCUAUGGGUUGUAAACUUCUUUUGUACGGGAAAAAACCACAGGUCGUGUAUCUGUGCUGAUGGUACCGUAAGAAUAAGCAUCGGCUAACUCCGUGCCAGCAGCCGCGGUAAUACGGAGGAUGCAAGCGUUAUCCGGAUUCAUUGGGUUUAAAGGGUGCGCAGGCGGAAUAAUAAGUCAGUGGUGAAAGCCUACAGCUUAACUGUAGAACUGCCAUUGAUACUGUCAUUCUUGAGUGUUGUUGAGGUAGGCGGAAUGUGUCAUGUAGCGGUGAAAUGCUUAGAUAUGACACAGAACACCGAUCGCGAAGGCAGCUUACCAAGCAACAACUGACGCUCAUGCACGAAAGCGUGNGGAUCAAACAGGAUUAGAUACCCUGGUAGUCCACGCCGUANACGAUGAUCACUCGAUGUUGGCGAUACACAGUCAGCGUCUUAGGGAAACUAUUAAGUGAUCCACCUGGGGAGUACGGUCGCAA
rnacentral:rRNA from 1 species